rnacentral:lncRNA from 1 species
CAGUGACACCUAAUAAUAUUUAGUGACAAUAGGAUAUAGUUCACGUAUGAUUCAGUCCCUCUAUCGUGAAUCUUGACUAAAUGAUAGAUCAUAGAUAAAUCGUCAAAUCUCAUCAUCAAUUAUAUAAUAGAUUCGAUCAGCUCAAGUCCAAUUGUGAUCCUUAUGAAAACUAUUUUCCAACAAUCACACUGCUGUGGCCACAGAUUUUCAGACUUAGCCUCUCAAAUCUCAUAGAACUACUUUCUAUCAAGAUCGAUAGAUUCUA